rnacentral:rRNA from 1 species
UACGUAGGGUGCAAGCGUUGUCCGGAAUUAUUGGGCGUAAAGAGCUCGUAGGCGGUCUGUCGCGUCUGCUGUGAAAACUCGGGGCUUAACCCCGGGCCUGCAGUGGGUACGGGCAGACUAGAGUGCGGUAGGGGAGACUGGAAUUCCUGGUGUAGCGGUGAAAUGCGCAGAUAUCAGGAGGAACACCGGUGGCGAAGGCGGGUCUCUGGGCCGAUACUGACACUGAGGAGCGAAAGCGUGGGGAGCGAACAGG